GCCUGGCUAGCUCAGUUGGUAGAGCGCGAGGCUCUUAAUCUCAGGGUUGUGGGUUUGAGCCCCACGUUGGGCA